AACGAACGCUGGCGGCAUGCCUAACACAUGCAAGUCGAACGAGACCUUCGGGUCUAGUGGCGCACGGGUGCGUAACGCGUGGGAACCUGCCCUUAGGUUCGGAAUAACUCCCCGAAAGGGGUGCUAAUACCGGAUAAUGUCUUCGGACCAAAGAUUUAUCGCCUUUGGAUGGGCCCGCGUUGGAUUAGCUAGUUGGUAGGGUAAAAGCCUACCAAGGCGACGAUCCAUAGCUGGUAUGAGAGGAUGAUCAGCCACACUGGGACUGAGACACGGCCCAGACUCCUACGGGAGGCAGCAGUGGGGAAUAUUGGACAAUGGGCGAAAGCCUGAUCCAGCAAUGCUGCGUGAGUGAUGAAGGCCUUAGGGUUGUAAAGCUCUUUUACCCGGGAUGAUAAUGACAGUACCGGGAGAAUAAGCUCCGGCUAACUCCGUG
rnacentral:rRNA from 1 species